AUUGAACGCUGGCGGCAGGCCUAACACAUGCAAGUCGAACGGUAACAGGAAACAGCUUGCUGUUUCGCUGACGAGUGGCGGACGGGUGAGUAAUGUCUGGGAAACUGCCUGAUGGAGGGGGAUAACUACUGGAAACGGUAGCUAAUACCGCAUAACGUCGCAAGACCAAAGAGGGGGACCCUCGGGCCUCUUGCCAUCGGAUGUGCCCAGAUGGGAUUAGCUUGUUGGUGGGGUAACGGCUCACCAAGGCGACGAUCCCUAGCUGGUCUGAGAGGAUGACCAGCCACACUGGAACUGAGACACGGUCCAGACUCCUACGGGAGGCAGCAGUGGGGAAUAUUGCACAAUGGGCGCAAGCCUGAUGCAGCCAUGCCGCGUGUAUGAAGAAGGCCUUCGGGUUGUAAAGUACUUUCAGCGGGGAGGAAGGGAGUAAAGUUAAUACCUUUGCUCAUUGACGUUACCCGCAGAAGAAGCACCGGCUAACUCCGUGCCAGCAGCCGCGGUAAUACGGAGGGUGCAAGCGUUAAUCGGAAUUACUGGGCGUAAAGCGCACGCAGGCGGUUUGUUAAGUCAGAUGUGAAAUCCCCGGGCUCAACCUGGGAACUGCAUCUGAUACUGGCAAGCUUGAGUCUCGUAGAGGGGGGUAGAAUUCCAGGUGUAGCGGUGAAAUGCGUAGAGAUCUGGAGGAAUACCGGUGGCGAAGGCGGCCCCCUGGACGAAGACUGACGCUCAGGUGCGAAAGCGUGGGGAGCAAACAGGAUUAGAUACCCUGGUAGUCCACGCCGUAAACGAUGUCGACUUGGAGGUUGUGCCCUUGAGGCGUGGCUUCCGGAGCUAACGCGUUAAGUCGACCGCCUGGGGAGUACGGCCGCAAGGUUAAAACUCAAAUGAAUUGACGGGGGCCCGCACAAGCGGUGGAGCAUGUGGUUUAAUUCGAUGCAACGCGAAGAACCUUACCUGGUCUUGACAUCCACGGAAGUUUUCAGAGAUGAGAAUGUGCCUUCGGGAACCGUGAGACAGGUGCUGCAUGGCUGUCGUCAGCUCGUGUUGUGAAAUGUUGGGUUAAGUCCCGCAACGAGCGCAACCCUUAUCCUUUGUUGCCAGCGGUCCGGCCGGGAACCCAAAGGAGACUGCCAGUGAUAAACUGGAGGAAGGUGGGGAUGACGUCAAGUCAUCAUGGCCCUUACGACCAGGGCUACACACGUGCUACAAUGGCGCAUACAAAGAGAAGCGACCUCGCGAGAGCAAGCGGACCUCAUAAAGUGCGUCGUAGUCCGGAUUGGAGUCUGCAACUCGACUCCAUGAAGUCGGAAUCGCUAGUAAUCGUGGAUCAGAAUGCCACGGUGAAUACGUUCCCGGGCCU
rnacentral:rRNA from 1 species